rnacentral:lncRNA from 1 species
AUUUUAUGAUUCACUAUAUAAACCAUGGAGUGAAAAUAUCAAGACUGAAGUAUACAAAGGUGAAUUUAAAAGUUUUAUACUGUGAAAUUCCAUAAUACAAAAUUUUGUUUACCUCGAAAAACUUUACAAUGUUCCAAGAUUUUUUUUCUUUGAAAAAAAUCAGAAUGUCUUUCAAAUUACUAUCAGAAGGAAUUAAUUAGGGAUUAGAGGGGGGAAAAUGGCAACUUGCAACAUGACAACAUCUAUUAAAUAUAUAUUUUAUAUGUAGUAUGUGUAUAUAUGAAAUACCUAUAAAUAAAACAAGAAAUAAUCAACCAUAUAGAAAGUAAAAAAGACAUUUCAUUACAAAAUCAGUAAAAUUUGGAGAUAGAAAGCCAGAAACUUACAUUUGGUUACAACUUGAUAUUUGGUUAUAGAAUUAGAACUGUAUGUGUAAAUGGCCUCUUUAAAAAAAGAAACAGAAACUUUAGUUAAGGAAAAGUCCAUGGUGAAAUCUUUCAAUAUGAAAAAUUUUUAAAUUCAGGUUUUUAUUGACUGAAUUUAUAUACAGAAUAGAUUGAAAUCUUUCUGUUGAUAGCAUCAGAAGGAUUGGCAAGAACAAAAGCUUUUUGAGAUCUAGUUAUAACAUAAGCCAAUUUUCCUCCCAGCCAGGUAUUACAAUGGAUAAAGCAUUGGGCCUGGAGUCAGGAAGACCCGAGUUCAAAACCUGCUUCAGACACUAGCUGUGUGAGCCUGAGCAAAUCACUUAGCUUGUCUGCUUGAGUUUGUUUCCUCAAGUGUUGGGUGAAUAUAAUAACAGCACCUUCCAGGGCUAUUGGGAGGAUCAAAUGAGAUAUUGCAUGUAACAUAUUUAACAUCCUUAAGAAAUGCUUCAUUUCUUCCUUUAAAAAAAAAAAAAAAGAUCUACUUGUCAAAUCAAGCAGAUACUGCCAUUUCUUGCCAGGAUGGGAAAGAUAAAAGAGAUUUUCCUUUUGGCCAAGAAACCACAUUUUCAAAUAUUCAAGUUUUUUGCCCAACAGGAUCUACUUCUUUAUACGAUCUGAUAUUUAAAAGAUUUAAUAGUCACUCCUCCAGAGUUUAAUCGUUUUAUCAUUUUCUAAUGCAGCUGAUGCAAUUAUGUUUUCUGUGGGGUGACAAGCUGUGGAGAUUACAACAUCUGUAUGACCUUGUAAUUUCUGCACAAUCUCUUUUGUCUGAAGGUUCCAAAUGUAAACAAGAUUAUCUUCUGAUCCGGACACAAUCCAUUUUCCACCAGUGACUAAAAAGUUUGCAAAAAUACAGUAUUUCUCAUUCUUGUGACCAGUGUAUGUCUUUAGGCACCUCCCCUUGCUGUAGUCCCAUAGCUUAAGAAGGUUAUCCAGAGUUGCCGUAAGAAUGUAUUUACCAUUCGGAGAGAAUUUUACAAAAGACACAAGAGGAUUAUCAUCACCAAUAAGAGUUUUUAAACAUUGACCUGACGCAGUAUCCCAGAUUCGGCAGAGACCAUCAUAACUACUCGACACAAUCAAAGAUCCGUCACUAUUAAAAUGCACAGCUGUUACUGGGUCGGAGUGAGCCGGCAAAGUCUUGAGGCACUUUCCUGUUUUCACAUCCCAUAUCCUUAUGCUUUCAUCAAAAGAGCCGGAAACGACGAGGUUGGAUAGGGGAUUGAAGCUACAGCAAAAGACGUAAUUACUGUGUCCCUUCAGGGUUUUUAGACAUUUUCCCGAGCUCACAUCCCAGAUUUUAAGAGUUUUAUCAUCUGAGGCAGACACAAGAAGGUUGGAAUCUGAAGACCAGGCAACAUCAGAGAUUUCUAGUUUGUGCCCAGAUAUAGUUUUCUCACAUUUUCCAUCAUAUGCUCCCCAAAUUUUAAUGAGCUUAUCAGCAGAAGAACUCGCUAACCAUUCUCCAUUGGGGCUAAAUUUUACCGAAGAUACAGCUUUUGUAUGCCCCACUAAUGUAAAUUUUAAUGUGUAGUUUGGAUUGGGAGGUGCAAGCUUGCUUUGAUUGGUGGAUGAAGGUGUUUGCUGUGUUCUCGGGGCUUCGGUCUCGGGUUGCUUUUCUGUAGCCAUGAGCAAGUCUGACGUGGGGUGCUUAAGGGCGAUUGGGCUGAAUGAAGGCACGGUUCCUAGCAGGAGGCUUCUCUGCAAAAAGGAAACUUGCUUUUGGGAAGUUUGUUCUCACCUCCGUUAGAUUCCGCUGCAGGGAUCGGGGCGAAACUUCCCCAGGUCUGGAGGGGAUCCCCAACUCGGAGCAGUUUAGGAGAAGACGGAAGCAGCACACAAAAGCUCCUCCUCCAGGCACCACGCCAAUAAUCUCUAGCUCUCCCUGGCUCAGCCACACUCGCUUGUUAUUCAGUAAACCGAUUUUUAAAGCGAAGACCAUUGUUCCUCAUUAAAUCUGGUCCUUUCUCCGCUCCCCAUUUACUGAUUCUUUGGCUUCUUUUAAGUCCCAACUAAAAUCGUAUUUUCUUCAAGGUUUCUUCAACCCCACUUAAUUCCAGUAACUUCUCUUUUGUUA